GUAGCUGGACAGUACUGGACCCAUCACAAUUUCAAUACUGGGAAGAGAAAAGCCAGUCCUCUGGGGAAAGAUGAAGCACUGGACCUACAAACUAACUACUUUCAACCCCUGGAUGAAUCUAGGAGCAGAUUAGUCCCGAUAUCAAGGCAAUGUCAAGAGUGAAGGGGAGGAUCAAGAUUUUUUUUGAGUGAUUGUUUCCUGGAAGGAGUAUUAAAGAGAGGCACAGAAGAAUGCUUCUGCAUAGGACAUGAAAACAUACUUGGUAAUCAGCGAUCAUGUGGUAGCAGCCACACUGUUUAAGAUCAUGGAUCAGAAAUGUCUUUAAGAUGUCAAACAAAUGAAAAACAAAAACAAACAUUUCAUGGUCAUGGACAGGAAAAUCAAUAUUGUUAAAAUGGCCAUACACCCCAAAGCAAUUUAUACAUUCAGUGCUAUUCCUACCAAUGGCAUUUCUCACGGAAUUAGGAAACACAAUUUUAAAAUUCAUAUGGUACCAAACAAGAGCCUGAAUAACCAAAGCAAUCCUAAGCAAAAAGAAGAAAGCUGAAAGUAUCACACUACCCAACUUCAAACUAUACUACAAGACUACAGUAACCAAAACAGCAUGGUACUGUUACAGAACUAGACACAUAGACCAAUGGAACAGAACAGGGAAUUAACUCCCUAUUCAAUAAAUGGUGCUGGGUAACUGGCUACCCAUACGCAGAAGACAGAAAUUGAAUUCCUUCCUUUCACCAUACACAAAAAUCAACUCAAGAUGGAUUAAAGACUUAAAUAUAACAUCUAAAACUAUUUAAAAAAACCUACAGGAAUACCUAGAAAAUACCAUUCUGGACAGAGACCCUGACAAAAGUUUUAUGACAAAGACUCCAAAAGCAAUUGCAACAAAAACAAAAGUUGACAAGUGGGACCUAAUUAAAAGAGUUUUUGCACAGAAAAAGAAACUACUAACAGAAUAGACAGACAAACUACAGAAUGUGAGAAAAAGUUGAAAAAGUAUAAAUCAGGCAGAGGUCUAAUAUUCAGCAUUUAUAUGGAAGUCAACUCAAUAAGCAAACAACCUCAUUAAAAAAUGGGCAAAUGACAUGAAAUGACAUGAACAGACACUUCCCAAAAGAAGACAUACACAUGGCCAACAAGCAUAAAAAUAAGUGUUCAACAUCACUAAUCAUUAGAGAAAUGCAAAUCUAGUAAUAAGUGAAAAAAUAACAGAUGCUGAUGAGGUUGCAGAUAAAAGGGAAUGCUUAUACACUGCUAUUGGGCAUAUAAAGUAGGUUAGCCACUGUGGAAAGCAGUUUGGAGAUUUCUCAAAGAACUUAAAGCACAGCUAACAUUCAACCCAGCAAUCCCAUUAUUGGGUAUAUACCCAAAGGAGUAUAAAUUGUUCUACCAUAAAGACACAUGCAUGUGUAUGUGAAUCACUGCACUAUUCACAACAGCAAAGACACACAUGGAAUCAACCUAGAUGCCAGCAAUGGUGAACUGGAAAAAGCAAAUAUUGUAUAUAUACACCAUGGAAUACUAUGCAGCCGUAAAAAAAUAACAAAAUCAUGUGUUUUGCAGCAUCAUGGGUGGAGCUAGAGGCCAUACAUAAUACUAAGCAAAUUAACACAAGAACAGGAAACCAAAUAUUGCAUGUUCUUUCUUUAGGCGGGAGCUAAACAUUGAGUACAAAUGGAUACUAAGAAGGGAACAAUAGACACUGGGGCUUACUUGAGGGCAAGGAUGGAGAAACUGCCUAUCAGAUACUAUGGUCAUUACCUGGGUGAUGAAAAAAUAAUUUGUACACCAAACCCCUGCAACUUAUCCAUAUGACAAACAUGCACAUGUACCCUCUGAACCUAAAAUAAAAGCAGAAAAAAAUGAAAAAAAAA